GUGAAAAGAUGUGAUUACUUGUAAUUUAUAGCAGGAACAUCAAGGCACAGAAGAUAAUAUAAAAGCAUUUCAGUGGGAAGAUACCCAUGACAUGAAACUGUUUAAAACAAUUAAUCAAAAAAGCCUAAUUAUUCAAUUAGAUGGAUAAAUGAAUCUUCUUAAAAGUGGAUAUGCAAAAAAAGUGAUGAUGAAAUCUUUUAAAGGGAAAUGAGUGUAACAAAUCAGCUAAAUAUGAUCUCUAAAAAAAUUCUGAAUAAUAAGUCAGUGAUUAUGUUUUAAUUGGGCUUUAGCUUUAUUAUAAUUGAGGACACUCAUUAUCUUGUUUUAUUGUAUUUAUGAUUUUAAUAUUCAUACCAUUUGGUACUUUAUCUUUGUAUACUUUCUGCCAGUGCUUGUUGCACUUCCUGGCUGAUUAGUGCCUGGGUCCGUGUGAAGUGAAUACAGAUGUCUCAAUAAUGAUCGGCAGGACGUUGGGCUGAUUUUCAGUGUUUGAAGGUCUCCUAUAAAGUCGUCCUUUGUGCAGUUGUAAGGGUUAUUUUUUCCGUUCUUUUUUUUUUUCUCUCUCUCUUUCUCAACGUGAACAGCUCUGUUGGUAAGAAUCAUCUAACAGGAAACUGUUUUUUGCUCUGAAGGAGAUCAAGAGAACUCGUUUUGGGGAACCACUUGGGUGCCCAGCUGCUGUCCAUUCUCUACACUUAUCCCACCUGAUGGAAGGCUGUUAAGAAAAACAUCACUGCAAUGCCUAAUAAACAGACAUGGGUCCCAGACCCAAUAAGAGUGAAACCAUCCCCCUAUUUAAAUGAAAUUAUGGCUGAUGAGAAAGACAAAUUAAUUUCUCUGUCCCUAGUAUUACACAAAACUUUGGAUGCUGCCAUUGUUACAAUUUUAUUUUCCCCAGGAGCUCAGAGUCCCACCUUCAUUCUUUUUGUUUAAUGCUUAAGCUUGCCUGUCCACCUAUGGAAGACUAGAAUGAGCAAAGACCAUGUAUUCAAUGAUCUGUAAAUCUAACAGGAAACAAUAUAAUAAAUAUAUUGUGUUUGCUAACCAAAUCUGUGAAUGAUUAGAUCGACUGGUUAAUGAUUAGAUGGAUUAACACAUCAUUUCUAUUUUCUCUCUCCUCCCCUACUUCUUGUUUUAAUGAUACCUUCCAAGUUUUAUUUCUCCAAGCCUAACCCCUUACAUAAUACAAGAGGACAACAGUUUGCAAAAUAAAUAUCUGUUGGCCCUAACUGGUAAAUACUGAAAUAGAUUUCAAGUAAUGUGAGUGUUUUUGAAACCACCUAAAUCUGUAAGCCACCCUGCAAGGAACAAGGGUAGCAAAGUGAAUAAGCCAGACAUGUAAAAAUAAAGAUGACAAAAUGGAAGGCAAUUAAUGCCUGUAAUGGAGGUGGGGAAGGGGGGAAUGACAAGUUAAUAAGAAAUUUAUUUUUAAAUGCUAUCAUCUGCCAUAAAAUAUCCAUGCUUAUUUUAGAAAAUAUGUAAAAUGUUUAAGAAUUAAACAUCUUUAAAAAAAUCACAUGAACUCAUCACCCUGCAACAAAACACACACAGAUGAGUGCACACACUUAAACACACAUUAAUUUUCAAUUAGUAUAUAAAGUUAAUAUCCUGCUAAGUACAAGAUACUAUAUCAUGAGCACUUUGUCUC
rnacentral:lncRNA from 1 species